UACGGGGGGGGCAAGCGUUGUUCGGAAUUACUGGGCGUAAAGGGCUCGUAGGCGGCCAACUAAGUCAGACGUGAAAUCCCUCGGCUUAACCGGGGAACUGCAUCUGAUACUGGAUGGCUUGAGUUCGGGAGAGGGAUGUGGAAUUCCAGGUGUAGCGGUGAAAUGCGUAGAUAUCUGGAGGAACACCGGUGGCGAAGGCGGCAUCCUGGACCGACACUGACGCUGAGGAGCGAAAGCUAGGGGAGCAAACGGG
rnacentral:rRNA from 1 species